UGAGUCGGGCAUCUUAGAGUAAGGAUGAUUAGUGAUACGCCUGUUGGGUAGGGGAGCGUUGUGUAAGCGGAUGAAGGUUAAUCGAGAGGUUAGCUGGACGUAUCACAAGUGCGAAUGCUGACAUAAGUAACGAUAAAACGGGUGAAAAACCCGUUCGCCGGAAGACCAAGGGUUCCUGUCCAACGUUAAUCGGGGCAGGGUGAGUCGGCCCCUAAGGCGAGGCUGAAAAGCGUAGUCGAUGGGAAACAGGUUAAUAUUCCUGUACUUGGUAAAGCUGCGAUGUGGGGACGGAGUAGGUUAGGUUAUCGCACUAUUGGAUAUGUGCGUUUAAGUUGGUAGGUGGGAAGUUUAGGCAAAUCCGGACUUCUAUUAAACACUGAGAGAUGAUGACGAGGCUCUAAGGAGCUGAAGUAACUGAUACCACACUUCCAGGAAAAGCCACUAAGCGACAGGCUUUACUAAACCGUACUGAAAACCGACACAGGUGGUCAGGUAGAGAAUACUCAGGCGCUUGAGAGAACUCGGGUG
rnacentral:rRNA from 1 species